rnacentral:rRNA from 1 species
GACGAACCGAGCGAACGUUGUUCGGCAUCACUGGGCUUAAAGGGCGCGUAGGCGGGUGCUCACGUCCGGGGUGAAAUCCCCCAGCUCAACUGUGGAAUUGCCUCGGAUACUGGGUGUCUCGAGGGUGGUAGGGGUAUGCGGAACUAUCGGUGGAGCGGUGAAAUGCGUUGAUAUCGAUAGGAACUCCGGUGGCGAAGGCGGCACACUGGGCCACUUCUGACGCUGAUGCGCGAAAGCCAGGGGAGCAAACGGG